CUGAGGAGCGCGCCAACGAAAAUCAGUUGGACAGAGUUGGCCUUCGGGAUAACUCAGCUCCUUCCUUUGCUACUUGUGUGCCUGCCUUUUUUGGAUGGUUUAUUGUUUACUGACCAUUUCUCCUCAACUUUCCUCCUCUUUCAAAGGUGACGGGAUUGGUGCUGUUCUCUUUCUGGAGAGAAAGACAUCCUUGGUCAUCUAAAGCAUUGCACUCUCUUCCUGAGAGAGGCAAUGGCCACAGCAGGGAACGACUCCUUCAUUGCCGAGGGAAUGACUCCGCCACAAAGGAUCCUCUUUCCCCCCGAGAAGAUUUGCAUGGUCUGGCAGCAAAGACAGAGUGCUGGAGCAGGACUCCGCAAUGUGGGCAACACAUGCUUCCUUAAUGCUGUCCUGCAAUGCCUGACAUACACCCCGCCGCUGGCCAACUAUCUGCUCUCCCGGGAGCACAGCCAGGCCUGUCGCCAACAAGGCUUCUGCAUGAUGUGCAUCAUGGAAGCGCAUGUUAACAAGGUCCUGCGUUCAGUCAGUGCCAUCCUGCCUUUGGCUGUUCUCAGGGGUUUCAGAUGUAUGUGAUUUCAGGUUCUUUGACAGGUUUUCUUCCCUUCCUGUAGGAGACAACUACUAACUUCCUGUUUCUUAGUCAUAGGAGAACAUUUUCAGCUUGGCAGGGAGGAAGAUGCCCA